GCCUGGGUGGCUCAGUCGGUUGAGCGUCCGACUUCGGCUCAGGUCAUGAUCUCGCGGUCUGUGGGUUCAAGCCCCGCGUUGGGCU
rnacentral:tRNA from 1 species